rnacentral:tRNA from 1 species
GUCCCCUUCGUCUAGAGGCCUAGGACACCGCCCUUUCACGGCGGUAACAGGGGUUCGAUUCCCCUUGGGCGUACCA